UCUUACCACCAUGGACAGGCCCGAUCUCGUCUGAUCUCGUCUGUUAGUACCUGGAUGGGAGACCACCUGGGAAUACCAGGUGCUGUAAGUG
rnacentral:rRNA from 10 species